AGGUACAUCAAAAAGAUAUUUAAUGUUGCCAAAGAUCUAUCAAUGAAUGAAGAAUUUCAUUACCAUGGUUCUAGUAGCAGGGAGGUUUUGUUUUAGCACAACAAGACCCCUUAACAAAAAUUACUUUGUUUUAUGACAAAUUCAAAAGUGAUGAAAUUGAGUACAUAAGCAAAGAAUGACUGUUAUCAUAAUACUAAAUUUUAAAAUCUUAAAUUUUAAUUAUUUCUUUGCACACAAAAAAUAAAAAUGAAAAUGCGAAAUUAUUCUUAUUUUUUAAAUAAAAAAUAACAAAUCAACAAGACAUAUAAAUAACAUGAAAAA
rnacentral:lncRNA from 1 species